rnacentral:rRNA from 1 species
AUUGAACGCUGGCGGCAUGCCUUACACAUGCAAGUCGAACGGCAGCAUGAUCUAGCUUGCUAGAUUGAUGGCGAGUGGCGAACGGGUGAGUAAUACAUCGGAACGUGCCCUGUAGUGGGGGAUAACUAGUCGAAAGAUUAGCUAAUACCGCAUACGACCUGAGGGUGAAAGUGGGGGACCGCAAGGCCUCAUGCUAUAGGAGCGGCCGAUGUCUGAUUAGCUAGUUGGUGAGGUAAAGGCUCACCAAGGCGACGAUCAGUAGCUGGUCUGAGAGGACGAUCAGCCACACUGGGACUGAGACACGGCCCAGACUCCGACGGGAGGCAGCAGUGGGGAAUUUUGGACAAUGGGCGAAAGCCUGAUCCAGCAAUGCCGCGUGUGUGAAGAAGGCCUUCGGGUUGUAAAGCACUUUUGUCCGGAAAGAAAUGGCUCUGGUUAAUACCUGGGGUCGAUGACGGUACCGGAAGAAUAAGGACCGGCUAACUACGUGCCAGCAGCCGCAGUAA